CCUACGGGAGGCAGCAGUGAGGAAUAUUGGUCAAUGGCCGGAAGGCUGAACCAGCCAUGCCGCGUGAAGGUCAGUGCCCUAUGGGCGUUAAACUUCUUUUGUGCGGGAGCAAUAAUGGUCACGUGUGGCCAGACGAGAGUACCGUACGAAUAAGCAUCGGCUAACUCCGUGCCAGCAGCCGCGGUAAUACGGGGGAUGCAAGCGUUAUCCGGAUUUAUUGGGUUUAAAGGGUGCGUAGGCUGGGAGGUAAGUCAGCGGUGAAAUGCCCCCGCUCAACGGGGUGAAGUGCCAUUGAUACUGCCUGGCUGGAAUGCGGAUGCGGUGGGAGGAAUGUGUGGUGUAGCGGUGAAAUGCAUAGAUAUCACACAGAACACCGAUUGCGAAGGCAUCUCACGAAUCCGCGAUUGACGCUGAUGCACGAAAGCGUGGGUAUCAAACAGGAUUAGAUACCCGUGUAGUC
rnacentral:rRNA from 1 species